rnacentral:rRNA from 1 species
ACGCUCGACACCUACGAGAGGCAGCAGUGAGGGAUAUUGGUCAAUGGGGGAAACCCUGAACCAGCAACGCCGCGUGAGGGAUGACGGUCUUCGGAUUGUAAACCUCUGUCCUCUGUGAAGAUAAUGACGGUAGCAGAGGAGGAAGCUCCGGCUAACUACGUGCAGCAGCCGCGGUAAUCUGAGCGGGCUGGCAAGGC